AAAUCUACUCCCUGAAUCUUCGACAAUUACCCUAUAGAUUGUUCUGUGAAAACAAAAUGUCCGCCAAACUACUUCUCGCUAGCGUCCUUCUUUCAACACUGCUGGUCGCAUCGGUGGUCGGUGAUUCAAAGAGAACAAGAACUACUACUAAACCAACUACAACAACAACUAAACCAACUACAACAACAACUAAACCUACUACAACAACAACUAACCCAACUACAACAACAACUAACCCAACUACAACAACAACUAACCCAACUACAACAACCACUAAACCAACCACCACUACCACGAAGGCAACCACUAAAAAAACUACAACAACAUCAAAACGCCAUUCUAAAUAAACUUUUAAACGCAUCGGCUUGGUAACGGAUUUGUGAAAACGCGUAUGAGCCACGGAAUGAUCUACCUGACUAUUGAAAAAAUACCAAGCUGACAGUUUAAAGGUUGUGACAUGACAACGAUUUGUCUGACGACUGUCAAUCAUCGUAAACCACGCUUGAAUUACUUUGUUUAACUUUAUUUUCAGCAUUUAGUUGGGGAAAAAAACUUUUUAAUUUUUUGAAAACACAUUUUAAAUCUAUUCUAUUCCAGUAAAUAAAGCUAUAAAAUAAA